CACGUAGGGGGCAAGCGUUGUCCGGAUUUAUUGGGCGUAAAGAGCUCGUAGGCGGUUUCGUAAGUCGGAUGUGAAAACUCCAGGCUCAACUUGGAGACGCCAUUCGAUACUGCGAUGACUUGAGUCCGGUAGGGGAGUGUGGAAUUCCCGGUGUAGCGGUGAAAUGCGCAGAUAUCGGGAGGAACGACCCGUAGCCGAAGGCGGCACUCUGGGCCGUGACGUGACGCUGAGGAGCGGAAAGCGAGGG
rnacentral:rRNA from 1 species